GAUGAACGCUGGCGGCGUGCCUAAUACAUGCAAGUCGAGCGAACAGAUAAGGAGCUUGCUCCUUUGAAGUUAGCGGCGGACGGGUGAGUAACACGUGGGUAACCUACCUAUAAGACUGGGAUAACUUCAGGAAACCGGAGCUAAUACCGGAUAACAUUUAGAACCGCAUGGUUCUAAAGUGAAAGAUGGUUUUGCUAUCACUUAUAGAUGGACCCGCGCCGUAUUAGCUAGUUGGUAAGGUAACGGCUUACCAAGGCGACGAUACGUAGCCGACCUGAGAGGGUGAUCGGCCACACUGGAACUGAGACACGGUCCAGACUCCUACGGGAGGCAGCAGUAGGGAAUCUUCCGCAAUGGGCGAAAGCCUGACGGAGCAACGCCGCGUGAGUGAUGAAGGGUUUCGGCUCGUAAAACUCUGUUAUUAGGGAAGAACAAAUGUGUAAGUAACUGUGCACAUCUUGACGGUACCUAAUCAGAAAGCCACGGCUAACUACGUG
rnacentral:rRNA from 1 species